UACAGAGGGUGCAAGCGUUAAUCGGAGUUACUGGGCGUAAAGGGUGCGUAGGCGGUUAUGUGAGUGUGAUGUGAAAGCCCUGGGCUCAACCUAGGAAGUGCGUCGCAAACGACAUGACUGGAGUAUAUGAGAGGGUGGCGGAAUUUCCGGUGUAGCGGUGAAAUGCGUAGAGAUUGGAAAGAACACCAAUGGCGAAAGCACUUUACUGGGCUAUUACUGACACUGAGAGACGAAAGCUAGGGUAGCAAAUGGG
rnacentral:rRNA from 1 species